rnacentral:rRNA from 1 species
GACGAACGCUGGCGGCGUGCUUAACACAUGCAAGUCGAACGGAAAGGCCCUGCUUUUGUGGGGUGCUCGAGUGGCGAACGGGUGAGUAACACGUGAGUAACCUGCCCUUGACUUUGGGAUAACUUCAGGAAACUGGGGCUAAUACCGGAUAGGAGCUCCUGCUGCAUGGUGGGGGUUGGAAAGUUUCGGCGGUAGGGGAUGGACUCGCGGCUUAUCAGCUGGUUGGGGGGGUAGUGGCUUACCAAGGCUUUGACGGGUAGCCGGCCUGAGAGGGUGACCGGCCACAUGGGGACUGCGAUAGGGACCAGACUCCUACGGGAGGCAGCAGUGGGGAAUAUUGCACAAUGGGCGGAAGCCUGAUGCAGCGACGCCGCGUGCGGGAUGACGGCCUUCGGGUUGUAAACCGCUUUCGCCUGUGACGAAGCGUUAGUGACGGUAAUUGGUAAAGAAGCACCGGCUAACUACGUG